ACACACCUUUGAUGAGCAGAGGAAACACCAAUACACCAGGCAGGCAAUGCCCCAGCGCAUGCCAACACACACAUGGAAGGGUCUGAGGCAGCAACAGAGAGCCCGCAUCUCAGCUCUAGAGGACACUAACAGAACAGGCCCAGUCCCCACAUCUAGAGGCCAAGACCAGCUCUGUACCAGCACAAAUCCCAUGGCUGUGUGACUGUCGAACAGCAAGCAGCACAUUUCUGGGAUGUGACUUGGACACCAUCGCGGAACUGUGAGCCCCAGAGCCCCUUGAAUUUAUACUCCCGUGUGAUAAUAAAGCAGUGUUGCUGCUGCUUCACUCAUCUGGAGAUGUCACCUUUUCUUCGAACUCUAGUGAAUUCCUGAAACAGUUGUCAUUCUCAAUCAUGGUAUUUACUUGAAAUUUCAGAUUUACCUUCUGAAAACUUAUCUUGUUGUGAAAUUUUGUAUCAGUCAUUAUAUAGAUUGGUUUUAUUCUAUUCUAUUGGUUUUAUUUUACUCUAUUCUAUUUAUGCUUGGAUUACUUUUAUUAUGUUGGGUGAUAUGGGCAGCUAUUUUGAAGAUAACAAGAGGCAUUAUGGUAGCCAUUGGUGAUUUUCUAUUAUCUUGUUUGGAACUCCUAUACUAUUCUCACUGUUUUGUUUGAUUGGAUUUAUUCUGUUUCAUUUUGUUUGAUUUCAUUUUCUUUAAAAUAAAAACUCAAUAACACAA